ACCGUGAGGGAAAGGUGAAAAGAACCGCGGGAGCGGAGUGAAAGAGAACCUGAAACCGUAUGUCUACAAGCAGUCGGAGCGCAAGCGACGGCGUGCCUAUUGAAGAAUGAGCCAACGAGUUACGGGCACCAGCGAGGUUAAGCAGGAAAUGCGGAGCCGUAGGGAAACCGAGUCUGAAAAGGGCGGAUAGUUGGUGUUCGUAGACCCGAAACUGUAGUGAUCUACCCAUGAUCAGGUUGAAGCACGGGUAAAAUCGUGUGGAGGACCGAACCGGUGAGUGUUGAAAAACUUUCGGAUGAAUCGUGGGUAGCGGUGAAAUUCCAAUCGAACGCAGAGAUAGCUGGUUCUCCUCGAAAUAGCUUUAGGGCUAGCCUCAGGCAGUAAGCAUAGGCGGUAGAGCACUGAUCGGGAUAGGGACUGUAAUGGUUACCGAACCCUGUCAAACUACGAAUGGUUAUGCUGCAGAGCCUGGGAGUCAGACUACGAGAGAUAAGUCCCGUUGUCAAAAGGGAAACAGCCCAGACCAUCAGCUAAGGUCCCCAAUGCCAUACUAAGUGGAAAAGGAUGUGGGGUCUCAUAAACAACCAGGAUGUUGGCUCAGAAGCAGCCACCAUUUAAAGAGUGCGUAAUAGCUCACUGGUCGAGAGGCCCUGCGCCGAAGAUUCCCGGGGCUAAAGUAUGGAACCGAAGCUAUGGAUGCAUACGCAAGUAUGCGUGGUAGAGGAGCGUUCCCAUCGGGCUGAAGCCGUACUGGAAGGUGCGGUGGACUGGUGGGAAGUGAGAAUGUUGGCAUGAGUAGCGAAAAGAAUGGUGAGAAUCCAUUCCACCGAAAGCAUAAGGAUUCCUGAGCAACGAUCGUCGUCUCAGGGUAAGUCGGGACCUAAUCCGAGGCAAAGAGCGUAGGAGAUGGACAACUGGUCGAUAUUCCAGUACCGGCAGUGAUCGUUUGAACGAAGGAGUGACGCAGGAAGGCAGGUCCGCACGAGAUUGGUAGAUCGUGUGCAAGCGUGUAGGCUGGCAAACAGGCAAAUCCGUUUGCUGAGGCUGAGGCGUGACGCGGAGGGAACUUGUUCCCGAAGGGAUUGAGCCUACGCUGCCGAGAAAAGCUUCUAGUGAGAAAGCUGCCGCCCGUACCGUAAACCGACACAGGUAUGCGGGGAGAGAAUCCUAAGGUGCGCGGGAGAACCCUCGUUAAGGAACUCGGCAAAAUGUACCCGUAACUUCGGGAUAAGGGUAGCCACAAAGGUGAAGGGACUCGCUCCUGGAGCCCGGUGUGGUCGCAGAGAAGAGGCCCAAGCGACUGUUAACCAGAAACACAGGUGCCUGCGAAAGAGAAAUCUGAAGUAUAGGUGCUGACACCUGCCCAGUGCUGGAAGGUUAAAGAAGGAUGUCCGGGUUCGACCCAAAGCAUUCGACUGAAGCCCCAGUGAACGGCGGCCGUAACUAUAACGGUCCUAAGGUAGCGAAAUUCCUUGUCGGGUAAGUUCCGACCCGCACGAAAGGUGUAACGAUUUGGGCACUGUCUCAACGAGGGACCCGGUGAAAUUGAAAUACCUGUGAAGAUGCAGGUUACCCGCGACUGGACAGAAAGACCCCAUGGAGCUUUACUGUAACCUAAUAUUGGGUUCUGAUACUUGAUGCACAGGAUAGGUGGGAGGCAUGGAAGGCAGUCCUCUGGGAUUGCCGGAGCCGCCGUUGGGAUACCACCCUUCAAUUAUCGGGAUUCUAACCGAGCGAGCAACGAUCGCCGGGACAGUGUUAGGCGGGCAGUUUGACUGGGGCGGUCGCCUCCUAAAGAGUAACGGAGGCGCCCAAAGGUUCCCUCAGCGCGGACGGAAACCGCGCGCGGAGUGUAAAGGCAGAAGGGAGCUUGACUGCGAGCCAAACACGGCGAGCAGGUACGAAAGUAGGGCUUAGUGAUCCGGUGGCAUCCAAGUGGAAGGGCCAUCGCUCA
rnacentral:rRNA from 1 species